rnacentral:rRNA from 1 species
AGUGAACGCUGGCGGCAGGCCUAACACAUGCAAGUCGAGCGGCAGCGCGUCCGGCCACCCUCGGGUGGUCGGAUGGCGGCGAGCGGCGGACGGGUGAGGAAUGCAUCGGAAUCUGCCUCGUUGUGGGGGAUAACGUAGGGAAACUUACGCUAAUACCGCAUACGACCUACGGGUGAAGGUGGGGGACCUUCGGGCCUCACGCGAUGAGAUGAGCCGAUGCCGGAUUAGCUAGUUGGCGGGGUAAAGGCCCGACCAACGGCGACGAUCCGUAGCUGGUCUGAGAGGAUGAUCAGCCACACUGGAACUGAGACACGGUCCAGACUCCUACGGGAGGCAGCAGUGGGGAAUAUUGGACAAUGGGGGCGAACCCGUGAUCCAGCCAUGCCGCGUGUGUGAAGAAGG